rnacentral:rRNA from 1 species
UACGUAGGGGGCUAGCGUUGUCCGGAAUCAUUGGGCGUAAAGCGCGCGUAGGCGGUCAGGAAAGUCCGGUGUGAAAGUCAUAGGCUCAACCUAUGGAUGCCGCUGGAAACUGCCUGACUUGAGUCCGGAAGGGGCGAGUGGAAUUCCUGGUGUAGCGGUGGAAUGCGCAGAUAUCAGGAGGAACACCAGUGGCGAAGGCGGCCGCCUGGGCCUGACCUGACGCUGAGGCGCGAAAGCGUGGGGGGAGCGAUCCGG